GCCUUCGUGGUGUAGUGGUCAGCAUGCUCGACGCGUAACCGAGAGGUCCGUGGUUCGAUUCCCGGCGAAGACG
rnacentral:tRNA from 1 species